UCUACGAACUCAUCAAGCAGAAGAAGACGCCAGAGACGUAAAUCAGCCGUAUCAGCGCACGAUGUACACAAGACGAAAUCCGGAGUCAGGAGCGACUAAUCGCCCCGAAAAUGGUACAAACGAACUACAGGUAAUCAAUCUGUCUUCCCAUGUGUUAUCAGAUGACGAUGUGGCAGUACUAGGUAAGGGAUUAAAUUUUUCCCCAUGUGCUAAAUUUGAUAUCUUUUCAGCUGUAAAAGACGUACACCUCUUUGGACGAUCACUCCUUUUUAAGAAAUGGCAUCAUCGGAGUGAUCUUGAUACGAUUUUUGAGACCGUAGAAGAAAUAUACUUACUGCAGUAAGGGCAUUAGAAGACCUUCUGGAGGAACAGGAAACACCCGAGACUGAUUUUGGACCAAAUGUUACAUCAAGCAAUGGAUGAAGGAAUCAUUUCUAAGAAAAUAUAUGAAGCACUAAGGGUGGAAAACCCAGUCAUCCCGACUCUAUAUCUCCUCCCAAAAAUUCACAAGAAUGUAUCCAGACCACCGGGUCGACCCAUAAUUUCUGGACGAGGAAGCUUCACAGAAAAUGUCGACUUCCUCGAUAUCACAUUGAGGUGAGAUUGUGAUGGAUGGAUUCAGACAGAUGUGUUCCGCAAAAGCACUGCAGUGAACAGUUACCUUCAUGCAUCAUCAUCAUCACACCCUACCUCAACGAUAAACUCUAUACCGACAGGUCAGUUUCGACGUAUGAGACGUAUCUGUUCACAGGAGGAGGAUUUUGAAAAGAGAGCAUUGGAAUUAAAAGAUCGUUUCCACAACAGGGGCUACAGUAAUAGAAGCAUUAAAAAGGCAUAUGUGCGAGCAAAAAGUGCAGAUCGACGUCAACUCUUACAACCAAGGAACCGUAGUACAGAUAACAACCAGAUAUAUUCCUCCUACCCCGAGCAUCACAGCUAGAAGAUCCCAGAAUCUUAGGGACUUGCUGGUUCAAAGAGAGUAUCGAGAAGAACCAGCAUGCAAGAAAUUUGGUUCCAAAGGACUGAAAUGGGGAUGCAUACCCUGUGGCUGAUGUAUCACAUGUCCAAACAUAGUACGCACAGACAGCUUUACCGACAGUUGUGGAAAAACUACUUUCAAGAUCACACAGCACAUCACCUGCUCUACCAGAGCAGUCGUAUACUACGCGACAUGUCCAUGUCAGAAGAUUUCUGUCGGACUAACAACCCGCGAACUGAAGAUACCUGUCCAUUUGUUUAUGAUCUAGAGACGGAAUAUUAUGUGUGGAGAUGGCGACUAUCGGCUGAAGAUUUUUUCUACAUAUGCAUGAAGUGACUUUUUUAGCUAAUUAUUUUUUAUUCAUUACUUUUUAUACAAUUUUUCAAGUCUUCCACUUUUAUUUUUACACGAAUAUAUUUUUUACACAAAUAUCAACAUGUUUUUCAGUUCCCUCACUAUUCUUUAUUCAGUAUAAUUCUUUAUUUUUACUAUAUUUAUUUUUACUAGAUUCAGCGUGGUUUUUUAAUUAUACACCAUUUUCAUUUAUUAUGUAUAUGAGAUACAUUAUUUGGGGCACAUACAUUCAUAUCUUGUUUCAAUUUGCUAGUAUAAUUAUGCACCUUAUUUUUCCUUUUUUUUUUACCCCUUUCUCAAUUCAUCUGUUUUUCAUUCAGUUUGCUGUGAUCACAUUUUUCAUUUAUCAUUUUUUUCACAUCACAAAUUUUCCUUUUUUUUUUUCUUCCUUUUCCCUUUUUUUUUCUCCUUUCCCCAUUUUUCCUUCUCUAGCCUCCCUUUUUUUCUUUUUUUUCCCUUUCUCCCUCCUCAUUCCUUUUCACUUUACACGUGCCCACAAAAUUCACAUACCACAGUUGUUUAUGCAUCACGCACAUAUCCACAUAGCAACACUGCUUUACACAUAUUUUUGCACUUUUCUGUUCACAUCCAUAUAUCUAUGAUUACACAUUUUGAACAUUCCUUACACACUCUCACCUUUCAAUGUUUAGUUCCCUCAGUAGCAGAUAUCACACACACAAUAUAUAUGUUUAGUAAAUUUCAUAGAUAGCAUCACCUGUAUGGGUCAUAAGACCCCAUUAGAUGCAAUACAAUAAUAUAAUUUCACAAUUUUUUUCAAUUCUGACAUAUAUUUUUUUAUUAUUUAUAUAUAUAUAUUUUUAUUGCUUGAAUGUUUCAUCAAUUAUCUAUACAUAUCAUUAAUUCAUAAUGUCUCCAUCUACUGUGUCUUACACUUGUCUAUAUCACACUUUUUUGCACAUCCUCACUAUUCUAUUUGUUUCACAAGUUUUGUAUAUGUAUACGUUAUUGUUACCAAUAGAGAGCACUGUACCGUUACUGUUAACAUGUCAUUUUGCAUUAGCCCAAUAGAUGGCGAUGUAUGUUAAGUUCUUGCUAUGUUUUUGUGCGCACGUCAUGGGAUUCCUGGUCAUGUGGCCGCUGUUGCUUGGCGAUGGCAGGUCACAUGUCCUCGCUCCCAUACGUAGCGCUUACCGGAAGCCCUGUUUAUGGACGCAGUGUGUUCUUUUGUCGGCUGGUUACGGGUAUUGCGGUCACGUGAUCCCAACGUCACACGCCGGGGAUCGCGCGUCUGCAUAUCCGGCACCAUUCCGAUGACGAACACACUGCGCCACGCCACUCCCCAGGUAACACAGCUGUUCUGUAUCUGCUAUUACAAUACUAUAGGUGUGAUUGGGCACGGGUUAGUAUAAAUAUGUACCACCAUUAUGAUAAGACCACUCCCGGAAGAAGGACGCAAGUCCGAAACGGACGUAGGGGUGGACGUCUCUCUGUUGCACUUUCUGCUUGCACAUGUAGGUACUUUGCUGCUGUGAUCCUGCGCUUGUACUGUACUUUAGCACUUUAUGUAUAUACAAUGAUGCACUGAAUCUGGAUACAGCACUGUAUUUUUGUUAGGCUGCUAUAUAGAUAUCCAUUACCUUGAGAUGCUAUGUUGGCAUUUUUAGCAGCUUCCAUAUGAGAGAUGUUCC